GCCUGCAGGCUCAGUCGGUAGAGCAUGAGGCGCUCAGUCUCAGGCUUGUGGGUUGAAGCCCCACAUUGGGCA